CCGGCGCACGGUGAGUAACGCGUAUGCAACUUGCCUAUCAGGAGGGGAUAACCCGGCGAAAGUCGGACUAAUACCGCAUGAAGCAGGGGCCCCGCAUGGGGAUAUUUGCUAAAGAUUCAUCGCUGAUAGAUAGGCAUGCGUUCCAUUAGGCAGUUGGCGGGGUAACGGCCCACCAAACCGACGAUGGAUAGGGGUUCUGAGGGGAAGGUCCCCCACAUUGGAACUGAGACACGGUCCAA
rnacentral:rRNA from 1 species